AUUAGUAGCACAUGGGAAGUAAGAGAGUGCACGUGCGUGAACUUGGAACUCUCGCGCAGUAGCUAAUGAGAAUGAAACAUACUAUACUGUUUAUAAAAAUAGUAUGAAAAGGAGUAGAGAUAUAAAAAGAGAAAGUAUGUUCGCCAGGGAUAUGUGUUAAGUGAGAAUAAUAGGGAUGAGACGCAUAUUAUAAAUCAAGUAGCAAAAGGGAGGACAAUUUUGGGAAUCGAGGCAGAAAAUGUAUAAGGAAGAUUUGGUAAGAGAAUGAUGUUAUUUAAGGUGAUGGUGACGAGCAUAAUGUUUUAUGGGGUGGAAAUAUGGGAAUGGGGACAGAAGCAGGUAGAAUUGCUACAGAAAAGAUAUUUAAAGUGGGUAUUAAAAUUGGACGCCAGGUUACGUAAUAAAAAGGGAGACGGAAAGUGGGAAGAUGUGGGAGAAAGCAAUAAAAAUAUGAAGAGAGAUUGGGGAGUCUAGAAAAAGGGGAUAGAAGAAAGGAAAUAGGGAGAGGGAAGGUAAUGGAAAGUAAUAGGGGUAAAAAGUAAACAUGUUAGAGAAAGGAAGAGCUUUGAAAUUUUUAAAAAUGAAACAGGAGCAGAUGCAGGAGUGACUUAAGGAAGGAACUAGAGUAGACGAAUUGGAAUGUGUGAAGGGACUAGGAGGGAGACUGGGUACCAAAGUACUUGGAAAGGGGGACGCAAUAAGUGUAGAAGAUGUUAUUUUUGGAAAAAGGAAGAGGGAAGAUGUAGGAUAUAUCAAACGAAGGAAGAAUGCUUGAAGCAUAUGUUAGGAGGAUGUGAGAAUGUUGGAGCGUGAGAAGAAAGCUAUGAGUUGGUGAGUGAGGAUGGAGGUGGACUGCGCCAUUCGAAGAUUUUAAGGAAGAGGAGAUAAUAUUAGAGGAGGCGGAAGGAAUUUAGGUGAAAAAAAAAUAUAUGGGGAAGAAGUGAGUAUAUUUAUAAGGAGUAAAUAGAAGAGGGUAAUUGUAGAUUUAGUUGGUAGUUUCAUUUUUUUAUCAAUUUUUAUGCAUGGAUAUAUGUAAAUAACUUAAUGUUGAAUAAAACUAUUGUAGUAAUCA